AUGCAUGUAUAAGUAUAAACGAUUUAAUCGUGAAACCGCGAACGGCUCAUUAUAACAGCUAUAAUUUACUUGAUCUUGACAACCUACUUGGAUAACUGUGGUAAUUCUAGAGCUAAUACAUGCACAAAUGCUCUGACCUUACGGGAGGAGCGCAUUUAUUAGAACAAAACCAAGCGACUUCGGUCGUUUUUUGUUGACUCAGAAUAACUAAGCUGAUCGCAUGGUCUUGUACCGGCGACGUGUCUUUCAAGUAUCUGCCUUAUCAACUUUCGAUGGUAGUAUAUUUGACUACCAUGGUGGUGACGGGUAACGGAGGAUAAGGGUUCGACUCCGGAGAAGGGGCCUGAGAAAUGGCCACUACGUCUAAGGAUGGCAGCAGGCGCGCAAAUUACCCACUCUCAGAACGAGGAGGUAGUGACGAAAAAUAACGAGGCCGUUCUCUACGAGGCCGGUCAUCGGAAUGGGUACAAUUUAAACCCUUUAACGAGUAUCUAUGAGAGGGCAAGUCUGGUGCCAGCAGCCGCGGUAAUUCCAGCUCUCAAAAUGCAUAGAAUUAUUGCUGCGGUUAAAAAGCUCGUAGUUGGAUCUGUGCUUGGGACUUGGUCCACCUUCGGGUGCGUACUGAGCUUCCUAGCUUUUUGCCGGUUUUCCCGUCGUAGCCUUCAUUGGUUGCGGCGGGUGGCUGGCGAUUUUACUUUGAACAAAUCAGAGUGCUUAACACAGGCGUUUUGCUUGAAUGUUCUUGCAUGGAAUAAUAGAAAAGGAUUUCGGUUCUAUUUUAUUGGUUUUAUAGACUGAGAUAAUGGUUAACAGAGACAAACGGGGGCAUUCGUAUCG
rnacentral:rRNA from 1 species